UAUGUCGGAUCCACAAGAGAGGAAAAAUAUGGAGUGGAAACUACAGUCCAGACACUGCAGGCUUUGAAAGAUUUGGAUGGAGCACAGGUCGGGAUGCUCCCGUUCAUCUUUGGUUUGUUCCGGGCGCAUCGCAGUGCCUAGCUCCACCUGUCUACCUACUUCCUCGUUGUUCUCCUGCUUGCAGGAUCCCAUCUUGAUUUCCGAUCUCAUUAGAUAAGAGUCACAUGAGGGUGAUUUGAGCAAACGAGUUGAUGUCCCUUGAUGUUGUAUG